UACGUAGGGUCCGAGCGUUGUCCGGAGUUACUGGGCGUAAAGGGCGCGCAGGCGGCGGUGCUGGCCCGGCGUGAAAGCCCCCGGCUCAACCGGGGAGGGUCGUCGGGGACCGCACCGCUUGAGGGCGGUAGGGGCCGGUGGAAUGCCUGGUGUAGUGGUGAAAUGCGCAGAUAUCAGGAGGAACACCAGUGGCGAAGGCGGUGCUCUGGGCCGGUACUGACGCUGAGGCGCGAAAGCGUGGGGAGCAAACAGG
rnacentral:rRNA from 1 species